rnacentral:rRNA from 1 species
UACAUGUGGGGCAAGCGUUGUUCGGAAUUACUGGGCAUAAAGGGUGCGUAGGCGGCUUGUUAAGUCAGGGGUGAAAGUUUUCGGCCCAACCGGAAAAUGGCCUUUGAUACUGGCGAGCUUGAGUGCGUGAGGGGUAACCGGAACGAGUCGUGUAGCGGUGAAAUGCGUAGAUAUUCGCAAGAACACCAGUGGCGAAGGCGGCUCACUGGCCCGGUACUGACGCUGAGGUGCGAAAGCGUGGGGAGCAAACAGG